UACGGAGGGUGCAAACGUUGCUCGGAAUCAUUGGGCGUAAAAGCGCACGUAGGCGGCCUGUUAAGUCGGGUGUGAAAAGCCCUGGGCUCAACCCAGGAAGUGCACUCGAAACUGGCAGGCUUGAAUAUGGAAGAGGGGUCGCGGAAUUUCCGGUGUAGAGGUGAAAUUCGUAGAUAUCGGGAGGAACACCAGUGGCGAAGGCGGCGACCUGGGCCAAUAUUGACGCUGAGGUGCGAAAGCGUGGGGAGCAAACAGG
rnacentral:rRNA from 1 species